rnacentral:rRNA from 1 species
UACAGGGGGUGCAAACGUUUGCUCGGAAUCAUUGGGCGUAAAGCGCACGUAGGCGGCUUUGUAAGUUAGAGGUGAAAGCCCGGGGCUCAACUCCGGAAUUGCCUUUAAGACUGCAUCGCUAGAAUUGUGGAGAGGUAAGUGGAAUUCCGAGUGUAGAGGUGAAAUUCGUAGAUAUUCGGAAGAACACCAGUGGCGAAGGCGACUUACUGGACACAUAUUGACGCUGAGGUGGCGAAAAGCGUGGGGAGCAAACAGG